AGGGGAAUAGUUCAAUGGUAGAGCAUUGGUUUCCAAAACCAAAGGUUAGGGGUUCAAAUCCCCUUUCUCCUG
rnacentral:tRNA from 1 species